UGGGAACUCUGCGACUGGGUAUAAAAGAC
rnacentral:piRNA from 1 species